rnacentral:rRNA from 1 species
UACCUGGCGGCAGCUUACAGAUGCAAGUCGAACGGUAGCAGGAGAAAGCUUGCUUUCUUGCUGACGAGUGGCGGACGGGUGAGUAAUGCUUGGGAAUCUGGCUUAUGGAGGGGGAUAACUACUGGAAACGGUAGCUAAUACCGCGUAACAUCUUCGGAUUAAAGGGUGGGAUCUUCGGACCACUUGCCAUAAGAUGAGCCCAAGUGGGAUUAGGUAGUUGGUGGGGUAAAGGCCUACCAAGCCGACGAUCUCUAGCUGGUCUGAGAGGAUGGCCAGCCACACUGGAACUGAGACACGGUCCAGACUCCUACGGGAGGCAGCAGUGGGGAAUAUUGCACAAUGGGGGGAACCCUGAUGCAGCCAUGCCGCGUGAAUGAAGAAGGCCUUCGGGUUGUAAAGUUCUUUCGGUGAUGAGGAAGGCAGAUAAGUUAAUAGCUUGUUUGAUUGACGUUAGUCACAGAAGAAGCACCGGCUAACUCCGUGCCAGCAGCCGCGGUAAU